UAGCUAACAUGAUGGAUUGAAAACUGUGUUAAAAUUGUGAUCACUUUAAAAUUCUCAGGGGGUUUUCUAGUCCUGCUUGCAGACUAGGGGCUUUGUAGAGAUGAAUGUGAUCGGGCAUAGCAGCAGUCAGUUUGCAGACAAACAGCUACAGUAAGGUUGGGUUAAUAGGAUUCAGAAUUGUAUGACUGCUGUGACAACUGUGGGGUGCAGCAUGGGCUAAUGAGCAGAGUACCUGGACUGGGAGUCAGGAGACCUGGGUUUUAUUCCUGGCAUUGCCAUUGACCUGCUGCAAGUCGCCCUUCUAAAUAAGAAACAAAGGACUUGCAAUGUGAUGAAGGAGGAGAUCUGUGUUCAGCCCAUAGGCACCUCCCACCCACUCACACUGGGGGUGGAACAUGGCAGCCAUUCUAAGCCAGCAACUCCAUUACUGAGGAGCAGCAAAGAAUAACGUAGUAACUGAGACUGCAAAGGGGAAAGAAGAAGGCAGAAUGCUAUAGCACAAGUUGGCACCUGGUCAAGAAUUUGGUUAACCAGGCCCUGUUCUUGCAAACAAAACAAACAAACAAAACCACCCUGUGCUAGGUCAUGCCCAUGGGCGGGCACUCAGCAGCACUCAGUUUUACAUCUUCUCCAAAAGAACU